rnacentral:rRNA from 1 species
AUGAAUAAUGAGGUGUUAAACCUUAAACUUAGUGAUGGGGCAGAUGAGGUUUAUUGGAAAUGGGAUAGUUCGGGCAAUUAUACCACUAAAUCCAUGUAUGCUUGGCUGGAGAAAGAUAUUGCAGGAUCUAAUUUUAAAUGGAUUUGGGAUGCAAAGCUACCUCUUAAAAUCCAAAUUUUCUUAUGGCAGAUGGCGCAGAAUGCCAUCCUGACUAGGGACAAUAUGAAAAAAAGACUAUGGCCGGGGGAUCCUUGCUGUUCAUUUUGUAAUCAAUUAGAAACAGCCCAACACUUGUUCUUUUUAUGCCCUGUGUCCAGGGUGGUGUGGAGAAACGUGGGUUCCUUACUUGGAACUGAUUGCUGUCCUAACUCUGUCUGGCAAUACUAUACGUGGAUGUACAGUUUCCUACCUGGGAUGGACAAAAUUUACACUGUUGGCUUGGCUGCUAUAUGCUGGGCUAUUUGGUUGGCCAGGAACCAAGCCACUUUUGAACACAAAUGGAUUAACUCCCCGUUUGAGAUUGUGUUCACAGCUUGUUCUUUUUUGAUAAACUGGGCAGGCCUCCAGAAAGCAGAGAUGGUGAAAAAGGAGCAGAGAUGCUGA